CCAAAGGCUCUUUUCAGAGCCAUCCACUUGAGAGUUACGGUAGGCG
rfam:Aedes albopictus isolate Foshan contig9286, whole genome shotgun sequence.